rnacentral:lncRNA from 1 species
CUAACACUUACUCUACAAUUUUACGCAGUUUGGCGCUUAUGCAGGUUCAACUCGGUCUAAUUCUCUGUGGUGGGUGAACCCUGGCACUAAUGCAGUCUGUCCUCUUCUGAACCCAGGAAACCUGGCUGCGCGAGCGUGGUUCCCAAGCUCUUCACGCAGGUUACCAGCCUCGGCUUAUAGCUUCUCCAAGCAGACAUUCGGAAAGCGGCGGUGGGCCCCAGAAGUGGGGCGGCGGAGCCGGAGGCCGGGGUGCGGCAGGUUUCCCGUGUCAGAUUUAUGA